rnacentral:rRNA from 1 species
AUGAACGCUGGCGGGCAGGCCUAACACAUGCAAGUCGAGCGGAUGAAGGGAGCUUGCUCCUGGAUUCAGCGGCGGACGGGUGAGUAAUGCCUAGGAAUCUGCCUGGUAGUGGGGGAUAACGUCCGGAAACGGGCGCUAAUACCGCAUACGUCCUGAGGGAGAAAGUGGGGGAUCUUCGGACCUCACGCUAUCAGAUGAGCCUAGGUCGGAUUAGCUAGUUGGUGGGGUAAAGGCCUACCAAGGCGACGAUCCGUAACUGGUCUGAGAGGAUGAUCAGUCACACUGGAACUGAGACACGGUCCAGACUCCUACGGGAGGCAGCAGUGGGGAAUAUUGGACAAUGGGCGAAAGCCUGAUCCAGCCAUGCCGCGUGUGUGAAGAAGGUCUUCGGAUUGUAAAGCACUUUAAGUUGGGAGGAAGGGCAGUAAGUUAAUACCUUGCUGUUUUGACGUUACCAACAGAAUAAGCACCGGCUAACUUCGUGCCAGCAGCCGCGGUAAUACGAAGGGUGCAAGCGUUAAUCGGAAUUACUGGGCGUAAAGCGCGCGUAGGUGGUUCAGCAAGUUGGAUGUGAAAUCCCCGGGCUCAACCUGGGAACUGCAUCCAAAACUACUGAGCUAGAGUACGGUAGAGGGUGGUGGAAUUUCCUGUGUAGCGGUGAAAUGCGUAGAUAUAGGAAGGAACACCAGUGGCGAAGGCGACCACCUGGACUGAUACUGACACUGAGGUGCGAAAGCGUGGGGAGCAAACAGGAUUAGAUACCCUGGUAGUCCACGCCGUAAACGAUGUCGACUAGCCGUUGGGAUCCUUGAGAUCUUAGUGGCGCAGCUAACGCGAUAAGUCGACCGCCUGGGGAUACGGCCGCAA